UGAGGCUUGGAACUCCGACCGUAAAACUUCGAGCUGACUAGGAGCUAUGCAUGUAUCUCAUUCAUACGUAGGACGAACACUGUUUCAAUCUUGUUAGGUGUCUUCGGCAAGCCCAAUAUUUUUGUAAUGAUACCUCACUCCAUCGUUAUCUUCUCCGUAUUAUUUGUACCUACCCCAACCUGUGGUCGUUUUGCACAAGGAUUUGCAGUAUGAUGUUCCCGUGGGCAUGUUGUGAUGAACCUGUCCAAUACCUUACUACACAUUCUACCAGCUUUUUGCUACAAAACAUAUAUUGCUGCUCAUAGGAUUUGAUGAAUGCCUCAUGUUUAGCAGUUCAAUUCUUUCCUAAUACGUACUGCAUUCUCUGGAUCCUGGAAUCGACGAAAACAGUUGUUCUGUUUCUCUUUUGUGGCCUUUGUCUGUGUGCCUGAGACAUGGUGCUGAGGACUAUGCAUGCGUAUGCUUAUACAAGCAUUAGUCAUUUUUUUUUUGUUAUCUUAGAAUGAUGAGCGUGUGUUCCCGUGAGGAUCUUUGCAUGUAAGGCUCAAUUUAUGUGUAGCCAUUAAGAUAUAUUCUGUUUGGCGAUUGUCUCGUACUCUCGUAUAAUGAAAUUUAACCGAAUGUAACCUCUCCUAAAUCGUCUGGACCUUUUAACUUCCCUGCAAGUUACACCCUUUGGCCUUAAGCAAACAUCUACACAGAUAAACAAAGAUAAACAAGAGCAAAGUAGUAAGGUUACUGAGACGGAGGCUUGUAUGUGGCCGGUCUGACCGCAGGUAUGUGGCCGGUCUGACCGUUAGGGUCCGAGUCUGAGUCUGUUUUCGUUGGGUCUGCUUGGAAAGGCAUGUUUUGGGUUUCUUUGGGUCUGCUCCGAGUCUGUUUUUAUUGGGUCUCGGGUUUCCUUGCUUGGGAAGGCAUGUUCCGAGUUUUCUUUUGGUUUCUAUCCUGAGUUGGACAUGGAGAAAGGCAUGUAGAGAGAGACUAACCCCUAUUUAAGAGACAAGACCGGUUCAAUUGUAAUACCCCAAACAUACAAUCUACUUGAAUCGCCUUUUCUUUUAUCAUUACUUUUCAGCCAUGUUUUCUACUUUACCCUAGUUUUAGUCCAUCUUUGUCGGUUUGCGUCGUAAAACGUCCGCCACCGCUGCGAGAGUGUGACACCUCUUUGUAGGCUUGUCCUGAAAACCUUCUGUUUUCCCACGAGACGGGUGGUUAUCCUCAUAUCGAUCUAAAUCGGCCUAGAGGCUGAUUUUGAUCUCUAAAUCGGCUCCGAUAGCCGGUUUAGCUAUUUUCUACAAAAACCCAUCUUGAUUUGGCCUUUUGGCUAGAUCGAGGUGGUUGGCGACUCCAUAUCACCGCAAAGCGUUUAGGUGCUGCGAUCGUGCUUGUCGACUUGUCAAAAAAGUUGCCAACACCUUCCUCACUAGAUUAGGUUUUCGGGUUGGGCAUAGUUCGUCAGUAGGUUUAGGGUGAGUAUUCAGUUCGAUCGAAAAUUUUGGUCACGGUCGGUCAUAAAAAAGUGAAGUCCAAAUAACAAUGCAAAGUUGUCAGUUCGGUCAUUAAAAAGUGAAGAAAAAUAACAACGCAAAAUUGUCAGUCUUAGUCCUAACCGAACUGUGCCAGUUCCAGGAGAUAAAAUUUGCAAUGAUAAAUUUUGACAGCACUGAACCUCUUUUAGACAACUUUUGACAGUUAUAUAUCACAAAAAUACAAGAUAAUAGGCAACACCAAACACCAAACAAAUAUCAAAAGAUAGGAUCAAGUAGCAAGAAUAAACCAAAAGCAUCAUGCACUUAGUUCUCAAUUUCACAUGACAUGCAUUACAUCACAUAUCAAAAUUCGGUUAUAUCGAUCAAUUCGUUUAACCGAGGUCACUAACAAAAUUGACCGAAUAAAUUUCAGUCUUUCAUUGGUUGAGACCUAACUACUGACUGAAUUUCUCAGUCUCGGGAUUUUCGGUUCGGUCUUAUUUUGCCCACCCCUAAGUAGGUUAUGUUAGAGUUUCUUCAAUUUCUUCUCUUCUCAUGCCAUUAUGUAGUGUCGGGCUUGUUUCAUUUUGGAGUUCACUAUUGGAAAUCAUAGCCCUAUUUGUCUCCUAGCAGCAGUAACCAUAGAGGGUUUAUCGUUCGGGUUGAGUAUGAAUCAAAUGUGUAACUUUGGUUGGCAGGAUUGCAGGCUGAGAUCCUCAUAUUCAAUGGCAAACUCCAUGGAUAUGCUUUUGCUGAGUCUAGUGAAGCUCACACGAAAAUCUACUGUUCAUCAGCAAAGCUAUGUUUGUUCCUAUGGUGGCAGCAGAAGGUGGUCAUCGAUUUGUCAAGCGGAGUGCAUGUCAAAAGGAGGCCAAGGAUGUAACUCUGUGGCAACGCCGCAGAUCCCCUGUCAAUUUGCUCAUCUACUGUUUGUUUGGUUUCAUUGUGAGGUUUGUUUCGUUAGUUUUGUUAGCUGUUCUUUUGAUUCUAAUGCUUUAAACUGAUUUAUUCGACGAUGUCCUAGGAUUAUUUAUCUAAACUCUUAUUUUUUAAUAAAGUGUUUAUGAUUUAAAAAACCACUUUAUAUAACAUUUUACAUACAUAUAUAUAAACUUUAUAUACAUACAUAUAAAAUUUAUAUAAAUAUAUAUAAAGUUUAUACGUAUAUAUAGAAACAUCAGUGAACAGUGGACUAGGGGUGCGCAUUAGUGGCCUGGGGGGUGGGGGGGCGCUUGUGCUAGUUGUUAGAAUUCACGUUGUCAACAAUCGAACAAGCACACACGAACACACGGACACGAAAGUGGAGGGCAAUUAACUUUAUUGAUGUUUCUCUCUCUGUUACAAGUAUUACUUUACCCUCAACCUCACUAUUGUUUUUAUACCCACAAUAGGAUGUCAUAUAUGGAUACAUACAUAUAUAUUUGGUAUAAGCCCACUUUAUUCAUAAGGAAACAGAAGAAGGAGGAGGAGGUACCGUGAUCCUCACGAUCACGGUCCUACAAAUCCGACUCCUUCGGGAGAUCGGUUUCAUAACACUCCCAUUUGGGCGAAUACCGCGUUAUAUAUAUGCCUCAUCAAAACUCCUUCCAAAAACCCAGUGGGAGAAAAGGAAUAGGAGAAAGAGUACAUAGUACAUGCUACUUAUAUUGCACUGUUGCCUCAUUAAAAACCUAAAUGUGAGAAACUUCAAAGAAAUCUCACUUAAGGGAAAAAGAGUACAACCAUAAGCUAAUCUACUGGAUAACUCUAUCAUUCUUCAAGAAUGAUGUACUGAUCUGCAUGAUCAAUAUCAACGGAAUACAGUCAGGGAAGUGCUCCCCCUGAUUUGGGCACAUCUCUCAUCCUUCUCAUACCGAUGCCAUGCACAAGCUUCUCAAAAACACUAGUUGGCAAAGACUUAGUAAAUAAAUCUGCAAGAUUUUCACUAGUCUUGGUGAGAGUCACCUUGAUUUCUUCUUUCUUUUGCAAUUCAUGCAUAUAGAAGAAUUUAGGUGAUAUAUGUUUAGUGAGACUCGUCUUCACAUAACCCGUUUGUAUUUGUGCAACACAAGCUGAAUUAUCUUCAUAAAUAAUGGUUGGAGUUGGUGUGAUAUUCAGCCCACAUGUAUUCUGUACAUGUUGUAUCACCCUCCUCAACCACAUGCAUUCCUUGCUCGCUUCAAAUAAUGCUAUAAUCUCCGAGUGAUUUGUUGAUGUCGCGACCAUCGUCUACUUCGUCGACUUCCAUGAGAUGGCUGUACCACCACAGAGAAACAUAUACCCAGUCUGUGACAAUGCUUUAUGGGGGUCUGACAGAUAUCCAACAUUAGCAUAUCCCACCAUGGUUAAAUCUUGAUUUUUUCUAAAGAAUAAACCGAGAUAUUGUGUGCCACGUAAAUAACGGAAGAUUUGCUUAACACCAUUCCAAUGCCGUUUGGUAGGAGCUGAACUGAACCUUGCAAGUAGGUUAACAGCAAAUGCAAUAUCAGGCCUGGUACCAUUCGCGAGAUACAUUAAAGCUCCAAUGGCGCUUAAAUAUGGACAUUCAGGUCCCAAUAAUUCCUCGUUAUUUUCCUGUGGUCUAAAUGGGUCACUCUCUACUGCUAGAGAUCUUACUACCAUGGGGGUUCUCGUCGGAUAUGAAUCCUUCAUAUUAAAUUUCUCCAAUAUCUUCUGGAUAUAUGCAGACUGGUGUAACAAUACCCCUUCAGGAGUGUGCUCAAGCUGCAGACCUAAGCAAUAUUUAGUCUUACCUAAUUCUUUCAUCUCGAACUCCGUCUUUAGGUAAGAACUAGCUUCCUUAAUCACCUGUGUGGUCCCGAUGAUAUUCAGAUCAUCCACAUAUACAGAAAUAAUACAAAAUCCAUGUUCUGAUUUUUUUGAUAAACACACAGGGACAGUCAUCAUUCUUGAUGAAUCCUUUUCCUUCUAGGAAUUCACUGAGCCGGUUGUACCACAUCCUACCGGAUUGUUUUAACCCAUACAAUGAUCGUUGCAAUUUAACACUAUAUAUGUUGCGUUUUGUUUCUUCAGGAACUUGAAUCCCGUCGGGAACUUUCAUAUAGAUUUCAGAAUCCAAUGACCCAUAUAAAUAUGCGGUCACUACAUCCAUCAACUGCAUUUCUAAGUUCAAAUUGACUGCCAUAGAUAUUAAAAACCGGAAUGUAAUUCCAUCCAUUACAGGUGAAUAGGUUUCAUCGAAAUCGAUGCCAGGUCUCUGAGUAAACCCUUGUGCUACUAUUCUCGCUUUAUACCGAACCACCUGGUUGUUCUCAUCCCGUUUUCGGACGAACACCCAUUUAUAUCCUACAGGGGAUAUCCCUAUGGGGGUACGAUCAACAGGACCGAAUACUUUUCUUUUAUUAAGCGAGAUUAACUCUGCCUUUAUUGCUUCUUUCCAUUUGACCCAGUCUGAACGCUUUUUGCAUUCUGCCAUGGACUUUGGUUCUGGAUCCAGAUCAAUGAUCUUAGCGAUCUUUCCGGCAAAGUAUAUGUCAACAAUAGUAGUCUCUCUAUUGUAUGUUUCACUUGUAUCCACAUAAUUGGUGGAUAUUUCCUCUAUUCUUUCACAUUCCUGAUCUUCAUUGUUUCCCGCAAUUGUGCGCGCAUUCUCAUUGGGUUCAUUGCCAUCCGGGCAUAUCACUGUAGGUGGCUCAUCUACCUGGUGAGCUCCUUCACUAUUCUCUAGUGCUGUGGUAUUCUGUCCAAUCUUUUGUUUCGAAGGACGUCUCCUAGAAACUUUAGUUUGGUUGUGUGCAACUGGUGGUCUCCCCCUCUUCCUAAAAGUUGGGGUAGAUGUAGAAAUUAAUUUGAAAACCGGUUCCUCUGCGUCAUGAGGUAUUUCUACUCUUUCCGGUGCAUUCACAGCAGGUAUAUGAGAUUUCAUGAUCCCCUUUGGGUUAGUGAAGGCUUCUGGCAGAUUAUUUGCAAUUCUUUGCAAAUCAAUUAUGGUCUGAACUUCCUGGUCAGAUUCCUUAGUACGUGGAUCUAAAUGUAGGAGAUUUUUAGUUUCCCACUCAAUUUCGCGGCAUUCGACCUUCUGUAGGUACUUUCCUCCCCCUAAUGCCGGGAAAUGAUCUUCAUUAAAUAUACAAUCAGCGUAUCGACCCAUAUGUAGGUCUCCUGUCAAUGGUUCUAAAAAUUUAAUGAUAGACGGAGAUUCAAAUCCUACAUAGAUUCCCAAUUUUCUAUGAGGACCCAUUGACGUACGCUUAGGUGGCGGUAUAGGGACGUAUGCAGCACAUCCAAAUUUGCGCAGAUGGGAAAUAUUUGGUGCAUAUCCACGUGUAAGCUGCAUAGGGGAUACAGCAUUUAUGCAGUAGGUCUGAUUUGAAAUAACGCCGCUGCAUGCAAAACAGCGUGUCCCCAACAUGUAGUUGGUAGGUGCGAUAAGCUUAAUCCUCUUAAUUAAUGAUUCGGCGAGACCAUUCUAAGUGUGGACGUGUGGUACAGAAUGUUCCACUUUAAUUCCCAAAGCCAUGCAAUAUUCAUUAAAUACCUUAGAGGUAAACUCCCCGGCAUUGUCCAUUCUAAUGGAUUGUAUCCGGUUAUCCGGGAAACUGGCUCUCAACUGGAUUAUUUGGGAAAUAAGCCGCGCAAAAGCGUGGUUUCUUGUAGAAAGUAAACAAACAAUGCUCCAUCGAGUUGAUGCAUCAAUUAAUACCAUAAAAUACUAGAAUGAUCCGGACAUUGGAUUAAUUGGUCCACAUAUGUCUCCUUGUAUUCGUUGCAAGAAUACUGGUGAUUCGGCAUUCACCUUUAAAUUAGAGGGUCUAACGAUUAAUUUCCCUGUUGCACAAUCAGUGCAAACAAAAUCUUCUUGGUUUGGGAAAUCGUUACUUCGUAAAUUAUGGCCAUUUGAAGUUGAGAUGAUUCUUCUCAUCAUCCCUAGACCUAGAUGUCCUAACCUGUCAUACCAUAUUCUGUAUGACUCAGGAUUUUUAAAUAUUGUUUUCAGUGCAACAUUUUCGGGUUUUAUAUGAGUGUAGUACAGGCCAGAUUUCAAGGAAUGGAGUUUUUCAACAACAGUAUUACGAUUUCCGUCUAAUUUCGUUAUGAGAAGAAAUUCGAGUUUAUUCUCAUCUUUGGUUUCUACAUGAUAACCAUUAGCACGGAUAUCUUUAAAGCUUAGUAGAGUACGACUGGACUCUGGAUAUAAUAGAGCAUCAUUUAUAAUGAUCUUGGUACCAUGUGGGAGAACUACUGUUGCUCGUCCCACUCCGACGAUGUGUGCAUUGCUUCCGGUAAUGGUAGCGAUUUGACCAGUCUUUUUCUUUAAAGUCUGGAAAUACGUGGUAUCUCGAAAGAUAGUAUUGGUGGUACAGCAGUCUACUAGACACAUCUCCUCUUCCAUUGCCAUAGUACGUAACACUGUUCUAUCAUAAAGCAUUUAAAUAUAAUCAAUUCAUGACCAUAUAGUAAAAAUAACACUUUAAGAUAGAAAAAUAAAAAUCUGGAGAAUAUAUUAAACUAAAAGAGUUAACUAAAUUAUUAAGAUAACCAUGCUCUGAAGGAGCUUACAGAAACUAUAGUUCUGCUAGGAACACAAACUAAAUGCACACUUGAAAAAUCACCUAACUUUAGUCUAUUACAUAGUCUAAAAUUUAAAGUAACUUGUAAUGCAGGAAGCUAAGAUACAAAUUGGAAGACUUAAAUGUCCCCAUAUAACUGAUCAGAGUCCAUGAGAUCAUCUGAGAGCUUCAGCUCUGUGUCUGCUGCAUUAUGUUCCAUCUUAUCAUCGAUGUGCAUUGCAACCACUGCCUUCUCGUCGACCUUCUUGUCGAUAUGCAUGGCAGCCAUCUUCUCCUCUGAGUUCUAGAUCUCAACAGUGAAGUGUGACUCAUGCUCUGACUUCUUCUUCCCGUGCUUCUAUUGAUAAAGCUCAAUGAGAUGCUUAGGGGUGCGGCAAAUGCGAGACCAAUGUCCCCUAGUGCCACACUUGAAGCAUACCUGAUCUUGCUUUCCAUAUUCACCACUAGUAGAGCCCUUCUUAGACUUACUGUUCUGAUUUCCUUUCUUCUUGAAAGAUGUCUUGUUAACUUUGCCACCAUUUUUCCAGAAAUUCUUCCCUUUGUUCUGGUUAUUCUGGUUUUUCCCCUUCUUAAAGGAGCUAGCAUUUGCUUCGGGUGCUGCUGAACUUCCAGUGGGGCGAGACGUAUGAUUUUCAACAAGUGUCUCAUCUUCUCCUUGCGCUUCCAUGAGCACGGAGACCAGUUCAGAAUACUUCUCGUAUUUAGCCUGGUGGUAUUGCCUCUGAAUAUUCACAUGAUUGGCAUGGAAGGUGGACAAAGUUUUGUCUAUCAUGUCAGCAUCAGUGAUUUUCUCUCCACAUAGCUUAAGACAAGUGACAAUGCGGUGAAGAACUGAGUUAUAUUGCUCCAUAGAUUUGUAAUCUUGGAAACGUAAGUGAAGCCACUCACGUUUUGCUUUUGGGAGCAAAGCCUUUACUUGAUGGCCAUAGCGAUCCUUCAGUGAGUCCCAAAGGACCUUCGGAUCUUCCUCAGUCAUAUACUCAUUCUUGAGAGUAGUAUUCAAAUGGUGCCUCAGGUAAUGCAGUGCCUGAUUUUUCUCGGCUGAAGUUGGUAAAUUAUUAACUCCUCCAGCUGAUGUUGCAAUAGUUGGGUCCUGAAUGCAGUUCAGGAGUUUCUUAGCACCAAGCAUGAUUUUGGCAUCUAGUGCCCAUGUCAGGUAAUUCUUGCCGCUGACUGCUAGUUCAGCAAAAUCUCUCUUAGCAAUAUCAGUCAUUUUCCUACAUUAGUCAUGCAAAAUUCAAUAAGUACUGCAAGUAAGAGCAUGACAAGUGUGCAAAUAGUAAAUUGUCUGGUUAUCUAAAUUUAGUACUGUGUCAAUAUAUUCCCAUAAUUCUCCCAACAUUUCUCAGAAUUGCUGUACUAUUAUUUAUUUAGGUACCAAAGUAAUUACUGAAUUACUAACCCAUUAAAUAGUAUCCUGAAAAAAUAAAACAGCUUGGAAAAUAAACCAUAAAUAUGAUGCUCUCUGGUGUGUACUAAAUUUCAAAUUAUGAGAGCUCAUUUCCUAAAAACCAUGUCUCUAGGAUUCUAUGGUUGAUUCAAAAAUUAACUAAUGAACACUUAAUACAUAGAAAAUCGAGGGCUAAGACAAAGAAAAAGCAUUAAACAUCUUCUCUGUUUCGGCAUAAAAUAAUGCAGAAUAACCAAAAUUAUAGUGUUCCCCGUAAUUUCUAUAAUCCCGAGGGAUUAUUCCGCUAAAAUUCCAAAUCCGCAUGAAAUCAGAAAAUAUUCGGAAGUUUGCCGUUUUUCGGGGCAAAUUUCGAUUCGAGCCCGACUCCUUUUAUAGGCCAAAAUCUUUUUCGGCCCACCUCCAUGAACCGGCCAUUCAAGGAAUUAGUAGCCGGCCCGUCAGGGCCGUUGGCCUGCUAAUGGCCUUGGCCCACGGUGCAGCCCAACAAAGGGGAGCCACACCUUAUCCGAUUCGGAUGGCUAGGGUUGAAUCCCUAGCCCCAAAAUCCCCAAUUCGGCGGCGGCGGCGGAUUUCCCGGUGACUCAUGCGAGCGAGGCGGCGGUGGCUCGUCGUCACGGCGGGGUCGACGGAGCUCGUCAGCGCGGCGGGGUCGACGAUAGAGGCGGAGCGGCGGUGAGGCUACAAGCAGCACCGACGCCGGCGUGGUUGGCUACGGGCAUAUCCGGCGUUCGGCUAGCGCAGCUCCUUGCUGUGCGCCGGUGGAGUUUGGUUCGGCAUGCGGGCUGGCGAGGCGGAGAGCUAUCGGCAGCGGGAGGCCACGGCGGCUUCGACCCCCAUCCCAGUCGCGUGCGGUAGCGCGGGAGGUGUGCCGUGCGUGCCGGCGGCGGGGGAUGCGGACGCGGUCUCCUCAGCGUCUCUGCGGGCGGCGGCCGUCAACGGCGAGUGCAGGCGGUCGAUUGAAGACCCGUCGGCUGGCUUUUCAAGGGCGAACCGACGAUGGAAAGCCGAUGGCACGAUUCUGCGGCCAUCGGUGAAGGGGGUGACCGGCAACGCGUGUUGGCGGCGGCAAGGGCACGACGGCGCAUGCUGGCGUCAUUGACUCGGUUUCGUCGUCGUCAACUUCAGGACGACGGCGGCACUAGCAUGAGGAUUUGGGCCGACUCGUUCGGAAUCGGUGAUCAUGUUAGCCAGGUACACGAUUCUUCUCAUGUGCAUCGCGAUUACACCCUGAACGUAGCGUCGCCCUUCGAGGUAUCACUAGUUCUAAACCGUCGUUCUUGCAGCGGCUUGUCUGAUCCGUUCGCGCAUCUAGGGCGUACGAUAUACGUGUCUUUGUUUGCAAGAAAAGAAACCCAGCGCAAAGGCUGGGAACAGAUCUAAUCGGACUAUAGCGAUAACUGCUUCUCAUUCGAUAGAUCGGUUGUAUAAGGGAUAACCCCAUACGCCUGUCGUGCAUGGGGUGGAGAGCCGCAAACUCUCCUGCUACGUGCGCCAUAAGGGACAAAUCCACGUAGUACAACCCAUCGAUCGAACGAUUAGCGGAGAAAAAAAAUAAUAGAAAACGAUCUAGUAAGUUUAUCAUUAUCCCUAUAGAACGAGAUUAGAACAUAUCGAUGUUGACAAUAUACCUUGUCUGAAGAGCACCUCAUGCUGAUAACGUGUUAGAAUUCACGUUGUCAACAAUCGAACAAGCACACACGAACACACGGACACGAAAGUGGAGGGCAAGUUCGAAAGUGGAGGGCAAUUAACUUUAUCGAUGUUUCUCUCUCUGUUACAAGUAUUACUUUGCCCUCAACCUCACUAUUGUAUUUAUACCCACAAUAGGAUGUCGUAUAUGGAUACAUACAUAUAUAUUUGGUAUAAGCCCACUACAUUAACGAGGAAACAGAAGGAGGAGGUACCGUGAUCCUCACGAUCACGGUCCUACAAAACCGAUCUUCCGAACACUAGUUACUCGUCUAGCGCGUGUGAAAUAAGAAUCCCAUUGUAUCCAGUAAUAAUUUUGUUUUUUUAUUGGACGGAGAGAAAAUUUUUUAGUCCGUAUAGAGAAAUUCGCACGUUUUCAGAAGCUUCCUGCCUCUCCGCUCUCCAUGUGCGUGCCACCAAAUUUCCCUGGAGACCGAUCUCAGCCGUCCAUCCCAAGAUCGGACGCCCUCCAUCCCAUGCCCACCAUCCUUAUAUUAUUCUCCGCUCCUCUCCACCACCCCUUCUCUUCCCUUCCCUCCCCCCCAAAUCCAUCCGCUUCCACCCCCCAGCCCCCGAAUUCCAUCGCAGAUCAGAUCAGGUGAGCUCUCCCGCCCCUCCCUUCUCCGGCGAUCCAUCCGCCGCCCGAUGAUUCUACUGGAUCCGCCGUUUCUCCGCGUUCGAUUUCGUUGGUUGAUGCGUGGGGGCGAAGAUCCGGCGCCAUUUGUUUCGAGAUUUGAUCUGGUUUUCGAGGCGUUAGGGCGUGGGGGGAGGGAGGUUGGAUCUCGUGGCGGAUUUGGAUUUUAACGGAUGGGAUCGUAUGGAUUUGCAGGUGAAAAAAGAGGAGAGAGGAGGGGGGAAGAUGGGGUUGGCGUUCGGGAAGCUGUUCAGCCGGCUGUUCGCGAAGAAGGAGAUGCGGAUCCUGAUGGUGGGGCUCGACGCCGCCGGAAAGACCACCAUCCUCUACAAGCUCAAGCUCGGCGAGAUCGUCACCACCAUCCCCACCAUUGGUCAGCCACAUGCGUUUCUCUUUCUGUAUGUACAUUGUUAUAUUACUAGCUAAAUGCCCGUGCGAUGCGACGGAUAUUGUAAGAAAUAAAAUCAAAAGCAAAAGCAAAAAAUGACAAGUUUGUAGCAUUGUUAAUUGAUUAGGCAUAUAAUGCUAUAUCCAAAAGAAAAAGGCAUGUAAUUACAAGUUUAUAGCAUAGAGUUAAUUGAUUAGACACCACAUGUCAGCUCGUAGCAUUGGAGGCGGACUCGGAUGCCACCACUAGCAUCAUUUAAAGUAGUAUAGGAAUAUGCCAAUUUCUUUGGCCUUGCCGCUUGCUGUUUGUGUUCUAUCCAGGACCCCAUCCGUUGCCUAUGACUUAUUAUAAGCCGUAAUGUCUUAUUAGUGAUUAGAAAAUAAUUUGUAUGUAGAUAUUUACUUAUAUGUUCUUAGCAACUUAAAAGCCAUUACUGAGGAAAAAGGUACAUUGAAAAAGCGUCAAAAUCAACUUCAAAAUCAUGUUUUAAAAUUCAAUUCUUUUGCAGUGGCAUAUGAGCCAAUGGGUAAACGAUGAGGCCUCCAGAAUGUAAUUUAGUUCGUGCUGCUAUUUUCAUGGUUGUAUAAACAUCAAAUUUCCAUUUCUGACUUUCUGUACAUUGUAUAUGCCAAUUUCUUUAGCCUUGUUGCGUGCUGUUAGAGUUCAUUUCCAGAAUGGACUUUAGUUCUGCAGAGUUGUUGUCGCUAGGUUUUCUUGGCUGUAUUGACGUCAAAUUUCCUAAUUGGAUGGAAAGACGAAAUGUCCUAUUCCAUGACCAUGGGAAUGCUAAGUUUUUACUAGCACACUUGAUAGGCAGAGAUGUCUGCUUGUCAUUUGUUUUACUUGAAAAGCUAUUUGAACUAUUGCAUAACGCUGGGAGCUGUUUCUUAUGAAAUUUAAGACUUCAACUUUACAUGUAGGAUAUCGAUUGAAUCUUAAAUUGUCGGAGUGAACUUUAUUAGGCAUCUAUUUAGGUUUUAAAUUUUAAACUAUUCAACAUUUGGAUCCUUUUAUGUUCUUGACUCCUUGUGCUAUGGUAUUAUCUCCUUUUCUAUUUAUUUAUUUGUAUCUUUCAAGCUAACUGAUUUUCUUUGAAUUAUAGGGUUCAAUGUUGAAACUGUUGAGUACAAGAACAUUAGCUUCACUGUCUGGGAUGUGGGGGGUCAAGACAAGGUAAGAACUGCAGCCAUAUUUUGACCAAUAUUUUUAUUUGAUGCCUUCAAUUAAAUUUAUCUUUGUCAUUAUUAGCAUCUGGUUUCCUAGUUAUUUAUGUUGUUUACAUUAAGCUGUCCUAUGUCUUGAUUUGUUUUAAUAUUUAAAAUGUUGACAUAUGUUAUCUCACCUUAUGAUUGAUCUUUGUAAAUGCUUGCAAAAACAGAUCAGACCUCUUUGGAGGCAUUACUUCCAGAACACACAGGGUCUUAUCUUUGUUGUGGAUAGCAAUGAUCGCGACCGUGUUGUGGAAGCUAGAGAUGAGCUGCACAGGAUGCUGAAUGAGGUAAAUUGUUCUCUGUCACUUUUUUUUGCUAUCGCUGUACCAUAUGGCUUAUUUGAUCAAUUAUGCCUCUGGUUUGAUCGAUGUACAUAAUAAUUAACAAAGCAACUGUGAAAAUAUCAUAUUCCAAUUGAUAAGCUAACAACUUUCUGCAACCCUAUCUGAUGAAAUUUAAUUGGAUUUAUGGCAGGAUGAGUUGCGUGAUGCUGUGUUGCUUGUGUUUGCCAACAAGCAAGAUCUUCCAAACGCUAUGAAUGCUGCUGAGAUUACUGAUAAGCUUGGAUUACAUUCCCUUCGUCAGCGUCACUGGUAAAUACGAAUUACUGGUGGAUCCUUGCUCUUUUCUUUUUAGUCCUUUCUGUAGAUAUAGUGUGAUGCUCAAUGAUAACUGAUUAUAGACUAGGGGAAAUUCCUUCUAUCCUUUGUUUCGAUUGUAACACAUCAUGUUGCCAUUAUUCAUGUUACUCACUGCUUCACUUUUUCCCAUGGUACUCUGGAUCUCAACCUGGUCUUCUUUCUGACAGGUACAUCCAGAGCACUUGUGCCACAACUGGCGAGGGUUUGUAUGAGGGCCUGGAUUGGCUGUCCAGCAACAUUGCUAGCAAGGUACAAAACUAUUCAUUCUCAGUUCAAUUGUUAUACUAGACUUUAUUCUGGUACUGUGCUUGCACAGAUAGUGCCUUUUCAAAGUUCUAUGUAUACUCUUUUUUUUUUCAACUUCGCUGUUCUGCUCUUGUAGGCUUGAUGCUUGAUACGUGGACCUUUAAGACAUGGAGCUGACUAGGAGCUAUGGCAUGUAUCUCAUUCAUAUGUAGGACGAAGCACUGUUUCAAUCUGUUUUUGUAAGGCAUGUGGCUUCGGCGAGUCCAAUAUUUUUGUAAUGAUACCUCACUUGAAUGUUCCGUACUUUUGGAUAUUAUUUGUACCUGUUCAUUUUGCACAAGGAUUUACAGCAUGAUGGAUGUUUCCGCGACAUGUUACUUGGAACUUGUCAAUUAUCCUCCGUUUCACAAUGUAAGACUUUCUAGCAUUAUCUAUAUUCAUAUAGAUAAUAGCAUUACCCAUAUUCAUAUAGAUAAU
rnacentral:lncRNA from 1 species